ensembl:lncRNA
CUGAAGCUUCAAAGCGCGUAUGGAAUAAGCAGUGCAAUUUCUUACGAAGCUCUGUGCCGGUGUUCUGAAAUAUUUAGUGUCUCCGUGGCACUGGGCGGAGCUUACAUGAAUAUUCAUGAGUUUCCUGUUCGGAGUUAAAGCGUCACCAAAAAUUUUAGUGCUCUUCGGAUCACAGAAAAUGUUUUCGUAUAUCAGCACGUCUUAUCCAUUGACAUGAUAAAUAAAACCAUAGGGAGAAUUGGAGUCACUCUGAUCUUCAGGUACCACAGGACACGUGAUUGGAAUAAGAUGAUGGCUGGUUUGUGAGCUCCAGCAUGUGGCCUUGUGAGCACGCUGACACUGAAAAUUGAAAACAUGUCCUGACACUCUUAGCUGGGAAGACAUCACACAGAGACAGCUUUGAGAUUCUUACCAGCUUUCUCCGGAAUCUGACAACCAAUAAGCAGGGUUUUACUCUGCAGUGGUGUGUGAAAGAGAGACUGUUUCUGCCAUGAAGUCUCAGUCAAAUUGAAAUGACGCUGGCCUUUGAGAUGUCCAUCAUCUUUAAUAAUACCAAAUUACUGGCCCCUGCUGGAGCCUCCCAGCCACUUCUCACUACACUCAGACGACGGCAUGCCGAUGUUGAGGAUGUAACGGAGAGCGUGUACUUGGUGGGCAGUUGUCAGCUUCUCUUUACGGCUCUCAUACUAAACCCCAAAUUGAGCAUUCACUACACAGCUGUCAACAAAAGCCAAGAACAACUGUUUCAGCGGGACCUGGUUGUUGCAAAACAAGCAGUGGGCAUGAGAGAUUUGGGCAAGCUAGCAUACACACGUGCGUGUGAACAGUCCCAAAAGUUACAAACAUCUCGGUCAAAUCAAAGGUUAAUUUAUAUGUAAACUGAGACUUCUUGAAACUGGUUG